GUUUGGGUAGUUUAUUUAAAACAUUAAUUUGUGGGAUUAAAAAUACAUUAAAUGUUCCAAAUA
rnacentral:tRNA from 1 species